UAACUGUGGCUAUCAUUCAUGUGCGUCGCGGAUCUACAGUGAAUCAGGGGUCCCCCCUCUACCUCUGGAAAUUUCUGCAUUUUAAUUGAAUUUUACUCUUUUACUCCCACUGCACAAAAAAAUUCUCUUACACCCCUGAUUGUGGAAAAAUGCGGGGUCCGUGCAUGGCUCGAUAGUUUGUAAGCCCGAAUUUUCGCGAAUCUUUUAACAAACAUUCGUUUUAACAUAAUGCUAUUAAGUAAAAGAUUUACAUCUAUUUAAAUGUCAAGAUUUAUAUUGUGAAUUAAUGGCGAGUUGAUUAUUAUAUCAAUCCCCAUGUUUGUUUACAUAUCGGAAACAUCCCUAGUACGAAUUAUUUUUUUUUUCGUCAGAAACGCCGCCACUGUCCAGCGGGAGAGAAAACUGUCAGUUGACCAUAGCAUCACAAGUUACUGUGGAUUCUGGUUAUUUUAAAAGUGAAAAUCAUGAAGAACUUUCGUGUAUUAUUUAGGGAUGGAGGACGGGUGCCAUGUUUACAUUCGCAACGAACAUAAGCAGACCAGUCUAUUUGUUUUCUUGGGGAUAUGACGAUAGGACCAUAUCUAUAGCUGUGUGAUGGGAGGUGAAUUUCAUCAUGACCUGAUGAUGGAAGAAGUAUAAUUGACAGAGUAUCAUGGAAUCCUUGUAACCAACCUUUUCUUGUUGAUGUGGAUUUUUUAAAUUAAGGAAACUGACUAAAAAAAUGACAUGCUGAAGGAUCAAGAAAAUGAUUCCAAUAAAAGAACUAAAAAGCCAUUUCACCAGUUAAAAGUGUGGAUGAUAUUCAGUGUGUUCAAAAAGUUGAAUAUUAUAUAUACACAAAAAUGCAUUGAUUAGGAUGCAAAUUUGAUACAGAUUUAAGAAUCAUACAGUGUCAAGAUUCAUCAAUAGUGUGAAACAAUUUAUCAAUAAUAUAGCAACAUGCGACUGAUAUUGGAUUAGACAUCAACUUAUGAGGAAAUCUCAAGAAAAGAGUUGGACAUAAUACCAAAGAUAUGAAUGGAAUACAAAUGGAAAAGAAUCACCAUGGCCCAUACUAGAUGCAACUUGAAGUUGAACACUUUCAUGCAAUUUAUAAUAACUGCAUGCUUGAUAAAUUGGAAUGAUAAGUUUUCAGUCCAUACAUAUAACUUAAUUUAAUUUUGGGAAAUUUUAUCGAAGCUGAAUUUAAAAUUGCAUGUGAAUGUUUAUUUUUGUAUGUAGUCAGUACAUAUUAUAUUGUGGAAUCAUCGUGGUUGUGGGGGACCAAUGUUCAUGGCUUUCGUGAGUAACCCUUGUACACAAAUUUACAUCCCCUUGAAUGUAUACACAAGCAAAUAUUUAGUAUUUAUUGAUAAAAUAGAACUUGCUACUGAAGAAAUUACCUCCCCAUGAACUAGGAACAGUUUGGUAACCAACGGACAUUGACCCCCACAAAUAAAAAUGAUUCCACAGUACUACAUGUACAUAGAAAUUAUCAUAAUUAAUUUAGCUUCUAAAAAUGAACAUGUCUGAAAUAUAUUUAUUUGAAAUCAUUUAAAUUUUGUUUAAGAAUGAAUUUGUUACAGAGAAUAAAAGCAUGUAAUCUAAUAACAA